AUUCAUAGCUAGGGGAGCCCUGAGGCUGAGAGUCCGUGCACGCGGACGACCCUCACAACCUGACCUGGGUAAUACCAGCGUAGGGAAGCCGACAGCCGCAGUC
rfam:Candidatus Nitrospira nitrosa, isolate COMA1 genome assembly, contig: COMA1_Contig_4